rnacentral:rRNA from 1 species
UCGAGAAUCUUCCACAAUGGACGAAAGUCUGAUGGAGCGACGCCGCGUGAUCGAUGAAGUGCUUCGGUAUGUAAAGAUCUUUUAUGGGGGAAGAAGUUUAUUGACGGUACCCCAUGAAUAAGGGCCUGCAAAACUCGUGCCAGCAGCAGCGGUAAUACGAGUGGCCCAAGCGUUAUCCGGAAUUAUUGGGCGUAAAGGAUAUGUAGGUGGUUAUGUUAGUCUAGUGUCUAACCUCUGAGCUCAACUUGGA